UUGAUCCUGGCUCAGGAUGAACGCUAGCUACAGGCUUAACACAUGCAAGUCGAGGGGCAGCAUGGUCUUAACUUGCUAAGGCCGAUGGCGACCGGCGCACGGGUGAGUAACACGUAUCCAACCUGCCGUCUACUCUUGGACAGCCUUCUGAAAGGAAGAUUAAUACAAGAUGGCAUCAUGAGUCCGCAUGUUCACAUGAUUAAAGGUAUUCCGGUAGACGAUGGGGAUGCGUUCCAUUAGAUAGUAGGCGGGGUAACGGCCCACCUAGUCUUCGAUGGAUAGGGGUUCUGAGAGGAAGGUCCCCCACAUUGGAACUGAGACACGGUCCAAACUCCUACGGGAGGCAGCAGUGAGGAAUAUUGGUCAAUGGGCGAGAGCCUGAACCAGCCAAGUAGCGUGAAGGAUGACUGCCCUAUGGGUUGUAAACUUCUUUUAUAAAGGAAUAAAGUCGGGUAUGGAUACCCGUUUGCAUGUACUUUAUGAAUAAGGAUCGGCUAACUCCGUGCCAGCAGCCGCGGUAAUACGGAGGAUCCGAGCGUUAUCCGGAUUUAUUGGGUUUAAAGGGAGCGUAGAUGGAUGUUUAAGUCAGUUGUGAAAGUUUGCGGCUCAACCGUAAAAUUGCAGUUGAUACUGGAUAUCUUGAGUGCAGUUGAGGCAGGCGGAAUUCGUGGUGUAGCGGUGAAAUGCUUAGAUAUCACGAAGAACUCCGAUUGCGAAGGCAGCCUGCUAAGCUGCAACUGACAUUGAGGCUCGAAAGUGUGGGUAUCAAACAGGAUUAGAUACCCUGGUAGUCCACACGGUAAACGAUGAAUACUCGCUGUUUGCGAUAUACAGCAAGCGGCCAAGCGAAAGCGUUAAGUAUUCCACCUGGGGAGUACGCCGGCAAGGUGAAACUCAAAGGAAUUGACGGGGGCCCGCACAAGCGGAGGAACAUGUGGUUUAAUUCGAUGAUACGCGAGGAACCUUACCCGGGCUUAAAUUGCAGAUGAAUUACGGUGAAAGCCGUAAGCCGCAAGGCAUCUGUGAAGGUGCUGCAUGGUUGUCGUCAGCUCGUGCCGUGAGGUGUCGGCUUAAGUGCCAUAACGAGCGCAACCCUUGUUGUCAGUUACUAACAGGUUCCGCUGAGGACUCUGACAAGACUGCCAUCGUAAGAUGUGAGGAAGGUGGGGAUGACGUCAAAUCAGCACGGCCCUUACGUCCGGGGCUACACACGUGUUACAAUGGGGGGUACAGAGGGCCGCUACCACGCGAGUGGACGCCAAUCCCCAAAACCUCUCUCAGUUCGGACUGGAGUCUGCAACCCGACUCCACGAAGCUGGAUUCGCUAGUAAUCGCGCAUCAGCCACGGCGCGGUGAAUACGUUCCCGGGCCUUGUACACACCGCCCGUCAAGCCAUGGGAGCCGGGGGUACCUGAAGUGCGUAACCGCGAGGAGCGCCCUAGGGUAAAACUGGUGACUGGGGCUAAGUCGUAACAAGGU
rnacentral:rRNA from 1 species